rnacentral:rRNA from 1 species
AACGAACGCUGGCGGCAUGCCUAACACAUGCAAGUCGAACGAGACCUUCGGGUCUAGUGGCGCACGGGUGCGUAACGCGUGGGAACCUGCCCUUAGGUUCGGAAUAACUCCCCGAAAGGGGUGCUAAUACCGGAUAAUGUCUUCGGACCAAAGAUUUAUCGCCUUUGGGUGGGCCCGCGUUGGAUUAGCUAGUUGGUAGGGUAAAAGCCUACCAAGGCGACGAUGCAUAGCUGGUCGGAGAGGAUGAUCCGCCACACUGGGACUGAGACACGGCCCAGACUCCUACGGGAGGCAGCAGUGGGGAAUAUUGGACAAUGGGCGAAAGCCUGAUACAGCAAUGCCGCGUGAGUGAUGAAGGCCUUAGGGUUGUAAAGCUCUUUUACCCGGGAUGAUAAUGACAGUACCGGGAGAAGAAGCUCCGGCUAACUCCGUG